UACGUAGGGGGCAAGCGUUGUCCGGAAUCAUUGGGCGUAAAGAGCGCGUAGGCGGUCCGGUAAGUCGGUUGUGAAACUGGGGCUCAACCCUCAGAGGCCGACCGAUACUGUCGGCUAGAGUCCGGAAGAGGCGAGUGGAAUUCCUGGUGGUAGCGGUGAAUGCGCAGAUAUCAGGAGGAACACCGGUGGCGAAGGCGGGUCUCUGGCCGUAACUGACGCUGAGGAGCGAAAGCGUGGGGAGCGAACAGG
rnacentral:rRNA from 1 species